rnacentral:rRNA from 1 species
UACGUAGGGGGCGAGCGUUGUCCGGAUUUAUUGGGCGUAAAGAGCGUGUAGGCGGCUAUACAGGGCCGUUGUGAAAACUCGAGGCUCAACCUCGAGACGCCGAUGGAAACCGUAUGGCUAGAGUCCGGAAGAGGAGAGCGGAAUUCCUGGUGUAGCGGUGAAAUGCGCAGAUAUCAGGAAGAACACCCGUGGCGAAGGCGGCUCUCUGGGACGGUACUGACGCUGAGACGCGAAAGCGUGGGGAGCGAACAGG